GAUGAACGCUGGCGGCGUGCUUAACACAUGCAAGUCGAACGGAAAGGCCCAAGCUUGCUUGGGUACUCGAGUGGCGAACGGGUGAGUAACACGUGGGUGAUCUGCCCUGCACUUCGGGAUAAGCCUGGGAAACUGGGUCUAAUACCGGAUAGGACGAUGGUUUGGAUGCCAUUGUGGAAAGUUUUUUCGGUGUGGGAUGAGCUCGCGGCCUAUCAGCUUGUUGGUGGGGUAAUGGCCUACCAAGGCGUCGACGGGUAGCCGGCCUGAGAGGGUGUACGGCCACAUUGGGACUGAGAGACGGCCCAGAGUCCGACGGGAUGCAGAAGUGGGGAAUAUUGGACAAUGGGAGCAAGCGUGAGGCAGCGACGCCGCGUGGGGGAUGACGGCCUUCGGGUUGUAAAAUCCUUUCGCUAGGGACGAAGCGUUUUUGUGACGGUACCUGGAGAAGAAGCACCGGCUAACUACGUG
rnacentral:rRNA from 1 species